UGAAAAAAAAUAUAUUUUUUAAAUUUAUACAGUAAAAAUAAUAUUUUUUAUCGAUUUUAAAAUAUUUUCUGAAAAGUUUUCUAAUAUAUAUUUACUGCCAAACAAAUUCAAAUUAUCACUAAAAUUGAUGAAGUUAACGGCGACUGUGCUAAUGGUAGUUUGGCGCAGUCCACGGUAAAAUGGUAAAGUUAAUGACAGCGGUGCUAAUGGUAUGGCGUAGUCCGCAGUGAGGUAAUUUGGCGCAGUGGACGGUGAAAAUGGAGUGAAGACAACAAUUGUUAAUUUUGGGUUUUAAAUAAAACAGAAAAAGAUUAAUGACUACAAUUAGGAAAAAAAAGAAUUACUAAGAUUCAUGGGCGAGCACACAACUGGUGAACUGGAACGACGCGCAAACCGGUGUCUUUGUCCUGGCUUGACUUCAGGUAAGAGCCCCUUGUCACUUUAAGCUAGCAUAUUUGUUUCCCAAUGCAGGAUCUGCCAGGUAAAUUCCAUCUUGACGAAAAUGAAUCUAAUUGCAUUUUGCCAUCAACGCCAACUUCUGAUAACAGUGUUUGGAUUAAGUAAUGCCAUUCUUAUUCCUCUUCCUCGGGAUAACCAAAGAUGGAAGACUGUUAAAUCUAAUGAAUCUACAACCAUAGAGUCUUACAAUUUGGUGGUCCGGUCAAUCAAAUUAGACUUGAGAGGUUGCUGAUCCUGGCUAUCUCCCACAUUCCCAGACACUGUUAGCUCGGGGCAAUAUGAAUAUUUUACCUGAUUUUGUUUUGGAACUCGCUUCCAAUUUACUAAAAGAAUAACCAUAAAUCUCUUAAAUUCUUUGACAAUCAUAUUACUAUAAAUAUAACAGUUAAUAAAUAACACAUAUUAUUAUUAUAUAAUUUAUAUUAUUUUAUUUGAUUAUGUGCUAAGAUGGAUCUAGUAAAUAUUUGUGUAUUUUUUAUUAAAAAAUUAUUAUUUAUAUGUCGAUAUAUAUUUAUAAAUAUUUUAUAUUUUAAUAUUAAAUAAUUGAUAGAUAAUUUUCUAUUUAAAAUUAAUAUGUUUAAUUAUUAAUCAAUUUGAUAUAUAGAUGAUUAGAAUGUGUUAAAAUAAUAGGUUUAAGGAAUUGUGCAUGGAGCUGGUAAGGCAACCGAAAUGUCCUGUUCUCAGAUUGGCGGACAUCCCAUUUUCUAAAGCCAUGGCCCUAAUGCUGAGAAUGAUGGGCUCAUUGCUUCACCCCUCCACUAAUUUGUUUGUUCGUUUGUUUCGAUCAUAACAAACAUCUAGUUUUAGAUCCUUUUGUCUUUGAUAACUCAUGAAACCUAAACUCAACCAAAUAUCAACUGUAUCAGAUUCUUGGCUUUCUCAUUCUUUUUUUUUUCUUUUUUGUUGAACAUUUGGCUUUCCCAUUCUGUUCAUGAAGAAAAGGAAAAAAAAAAAGAAAAAGAAAUCCAGAGUUUUAACAUGGUGCUAAUUAAGUUCCAUGCUUUGAGGAUGUUCGCUCAAAUAAAGAAACAAAGCAAAAACAAAAUGAAUUAGAGAAGUUGUAGCCAGAUUUUGUACGCAUUCACUUGCAAGCAGUUAGGCGAUGUUGAUGCACCCAUCAGUGCGUAGUUUUUGAUCUCCCUGUCUUACUCAGUUAAGAGCCAACCAUUAGUAUGGGAAUUAUGAUAGCAAUAUUGAAAGUAAAAAAGGAAAAGAAAACCAUUGGGUCCUUUGGAGACGGGUCGCGAUAGAAGAAGACGAGAACAUCAACACAUGAUCACAUGGCUUUGCACAUGAAGAGUCUCCCCCUUGAAAGAAAAUGACAAAAUGCAUCAGCUACCUCAACUGUUUAGGGCUCAAGACUAUAAAAAAAACUACUGUACAAUGUGAUCUAUAGGGCAGUAAUUCAAAGAGAAUCCAAUGAGCUGGAAUAACAUUUAUAUGGUAUGAGUUCGUUACAAUGGCAAUAGUACUGAGAUAUAUAUAUAUAUAUACAAAUGUCUUCAGUUGAUUAAUAAAAAAAGGUAUAUUUAUAAAAGAAGUAAUAUAAAAGAUGAAGGGCAUUUUGAGAUAGCCAAGGGCUAUAAAACGAGGAGCAUGUAUGGGUGUUUCCCAUGCACAAAUCCACUGCUAGCUCUCUUGACUCUUGAGAAGAAAAAGAAGUUUCUUGACUCGAGAGAAAAAAAGAAAAGAAAAGCAGAAGAGUGCUAUACUAGACAUGAAGAAGAGGCAGCAGGAGCAAUCCCAGCAGCAACAGCAAAAGGGAUGCAAGGAGCUCUAUAGCAAUCAGCAAUAUCAGAUGCAGAAGCAGAUACAAU